rnacentral:rRNA from 1 species
UACGUAGGGUGCAAGCGUUAAUCGGAAUUACUGGGCGUAAAGCGUGCGCAGGCGGUUUUGUAAGUCUGACGUGAAAUCCCCGGGCUCAACCUGGGAAUUGCGAUGGAGACUGCAAGGCUUGAAUCUGGCAGAGGGGGGUAGAAUUCCACGUGUAGCAGUGAAAUGCGUAGAGAUGGGGAGGAACACCGAUGGCGAAGGCAGCCCCCUGGGUCAAGAUUGACGCUCAUGCACGAAAGCGUGGGGAGCAAACAGG